AAUCCAGCGAUCCGAGUUCAAAUCU
rnacentral:piRNA from 8 species